rnacentral:piRNA from 1 species
UGUUAGGAGACUUUAGGACCAAGGG